GAUAUUCCUACAUAGCUAGUGGGACCCACGGCAAAUGGAUCAUAAAGUCUUCAAAAAAGAAUAGAUAUGAUUGCAUUGCAUGUAGUAACAGAUGCGAUCAUACCAACACUAAUGCACCGGAUCCCAUCAGAACUCCGCAGUUAAGCUUGCUUAGGCGAGAGUAGUACUAGGAUGUGUUACCUCCAGGAAAGUCCUCGCGUUGAAUCCCUCUUUUU
rnacentral:rRNA from 1 species